AGAAACACACAUCAGCAUUUUAAUAGACAUUUUAAUGCAAUGGCUUUUAUUUAGCAAAUAUCUGCACAAUUCAAGCAAACGGGAAAAACAAAACUCACGCCACAUAUAAACGCAAGUACUAGCCGAGUCUACAUUAAACCUUGAAGUCUUACUAAUGUUUGGCUAUUUUAAAAGCAAUUGUUAGACAUACUUUAACACAACAGGUGCAAUGCGAGAACGUUUGAUACGUGAAAGCACAAAGUUUACUCGCUGCAGUCAGACAUGUUGAUGCUUUUCUCCGAGAUUAUAGACGCGGCAGAUACUUUACAGUAACCGGCUUCCCGUCCGACGUCCAGCUGACCUCCGCAAACCAAACAGGCAUCUGCGCCAGGCACACCAGCGUGGCGUUGCCUGUUUUCAGCUCCUCGCCGGACGGAGGGCAGGAGAGCGAGUGCAGGCGCAGCAAGAGAAGAAACAUGAACAAAUUCAGAAACACGGCCAUGAUGAGCAGACCUGCGCAAACUCCACACAGAGAGGACCCUGUCCAGGAUUCAAACAGAAGACCUCCCUGUCGUGAGGCAACAGUGCUACCCAGUGCACCACCGUGCGUCUUACAUGUGCUGAUUAAUUCCUUUCAGCUGUCCCUGCAAAUGCAUAUCAUCCCCCAAACAAUGAGUAUAUGCUAAUAAACAGCACAUCAUUUUUAAUUGAUGCCUGCCUAUGGGCUAUGGGUAGGCUACAAAUCAAGUUAAUUUGGGGAUAAGGUGAUGUUUAGUACUUCCUGGUGUCCUCCCAUUAUUGACACUGACAUUGAUAUUGGCUCUGGAGGUACGAGCAGGCGUCUGGCAGUCAGUGGGUUGCAGGUUCGAUCCUGCCCCAGGUGUGUCGAAGUGUCCCUGAGCAAGGCACCUAAUCACCAAUUGCUCCUGACAAGCUGGUUGGUGCUUUGCAUGACAGCCAAUUGUCAUGAGUGUGAGUGUGUGCAUCAGUUGUACAGCACUUUGGAUAAAGGCGCUAUGUAAAUGCAGACCAUUUACCAUAAUAUCAGCAAUAAUUGCAA